GCGCCACUAGCUCAGCUGGAUAGAGUGUCGGCCUCCGAAGCCGAAGGUCGUGCGUUCGAAUCGCACGUGGCGCG
rnacentral:tRNA from 1 species